UACGUAGGUGACCAGCGUUGUCCGGAUUUACUGGGCGUAAAGAGCGCGCAGGCGGUCGUUCAAGUCGAGUGUGAAAGCCCCCGGCUCAACUGGGGAGGGUCACUCGAUACUGAUCGACUUGAAGGCAGGAGAGGGAAGCGGAAUUCCCGGUGUAGUGGUGAAAUGCGUAGAUAUCGGGAGGAACACCAGUGGCGAAGGCGGCUUCCUGGCCUGUUCUUGACGCUGAUGAGCGAAAGCCAGGGGAGCAAACGGG
rnacentral:rRNA from 1 species